rnacentral:rRNA from 1 species
UAGCGAAGGGGGCUAGCGUUGCUCGGAAUCACUAGGGCGUAAAGCGCUCGUGGCGGAUUGUUAAGUCGGGGGUGAAAUCCUGGAGCUCAACUCCAGAACUGCCUUCGAUACUGGCAAUCGUUGAGUCCGGGAAGAGGUGAGUGGAACUCCGAGUGUAGAGGUGAAAUUCGUAGAUAAUCGGAAGAACACCAGUGGCGAAGGCGGCUCCGCUGGCCCGGUACUGACGCUGAGGUGACGAAGGCAGUGGGGAGCAAACAGG